GUUUUAUUAGUAUAAAAGUAUGUUUGAUUUCCAAUCAAGAGGUUUUUGAGAAUUCAAAAAUAAAAUA
rnacentral:tRNA from 1 species